rnacentral:rRNA from 1 species
UGGGGAAUAUUGCACAAUGGGCGCAAGCCUGAUGCAGCCAUGCCGCGUGUAUGAAGAAGGCCUUCGGGUUGUAAAGUACUUUCAGCGGGGAGGAAGGUGUUGAGGCUAAUAACCUCAGCAAUUGACGUUACCCGCAGAAGAAGCACCGGCUAACUCCGUGCCAGCAGCCGCGGUAAUACGGAGGGUGCAAGCGGUAAUCGGAAUUACUGGGCGUAAAGCGCACGCAGGCGGUCUGUCAAGUCGGAUGUGAAAUCCCCGGGCUCAACCUGGGAACUGCAUUCGAAACUGGCAGGCUAGAGUCUUGUAGAGGGGGGUAGAAUUCCAGGUGUAGCGGUGAAAUGCGUAGAGAUCUGGAGGAAUACCGGUGGCGAAGGCGGCCCCCUGGACAAAGACUGACGCUCAGGUGCGAAAGCGUGGGGAGCAAACA